UGCUAAUACAUGCAAGUCGAACGAACUCUGGUAUUGAUUGGUGCUUGCAUCAUGAUUUACAUUUGAGUGAGUGGCGAACUGGUGAGUAACACGUGGGAAACCUGCCCAGAAGCGGGGGAUAACACCUGGAAACAGAUGCUAAUACCGCAUAACAACUUGGACCGCAUGGUCCGAGUUUGAAAGAUGGCUUCGGCUAUCACUUUUGGAUGGUCCCGCGGCGUAUUAGCUAGAUGGUGGGGUAACGGCUCACCAUGGCAAUGAUACGUAGCCGACCUGAGAGGGUAAUCGGCCACAUUGGGACUGAGACACGGCCCAAACUCCUACGGGAGGCAGCAGUAGGGAAUCUUCCACAAUGGACGAAAGUCUGAUGGAGCAACGCCGCGUGAGUGAAGAAGGGUUUCGGCUCGUAAAACUCUGUUGUUAAAGAAGAACAUAUCUGAGAGUAACUGUUCAGGUAUUGACGGUAUUUAACCAGAAAGCCACGGCUAACUACGUGCCAGCAGCCGCGGUAAUACGUAGGUGGCAAGCGUUGUCCGGAUUUAUUGGGCGUAAAGCGAGCGCAGGCGGUUUUUUAAGUCUGAUGUGAAAGCCUUCGGCUCAACCGAAGAAGUGCAUCGGAAACUGGGAAACUUGAGUGCAGAAGAGGACAGUGGAACUCCAUGUGUAGCGGUGAAAUGCGUAGAUAUAUGGAAGAACACCAGUGGCGAAGGCGGCUGUCUGGUCUGUAACUGACGCUGAGGCUCGAAAGUAUGGGUAGCAAACAGGAUUAGAUACCCUGGUAGUCCAUACCGUAAACGAUGAAUGCUAAGUGUUGGAGGGUUUCCGCCCUUCAGUGCUGCAGCUAACGCAUUAAGCAUUCCGCCUGGGGAGUACGGCCGCAAGGCUGAAACUCAAAGGAAUUGACGGGGGCCCGCACAAGCGGUGGAGCAUGUGGUUUAAUUCGAAGCUACGCGAAGAACCUUACCAGGGUCUUGACAUACUAUGCAAAUCUAAGAGAUUAGACGUUCCCUUCGGGGACAUGGAUACAGGUGGUGCAUGGUUGUCGUCAGCUCGUGUCGUGAGAUGUUGGGUUAAGUCCCGCAACGAGCGCAACCCUUAUUAUCAGUUGCCAGCAUUAAGUUGGGCACUCUGGUGAGACUGCCGGUGACAAACCGGAGGAAGGUGGGGAUGACGUCAAAUCAUCAUGCCCCUUAUGACCUGGGCUACACACGUGCUACAAUGGAUGGUACAACGAGUUGCGAACUCGCGAGAGUAAGCUAAUCUCUUAAAGCCAUUCUCAGUUCGGAUUGUAGGCUGCAACUCGCCUACAUGAAGUCGGAAUCGCUAGUAAUCGCGGAUCAGCAGCC
rnacentral:rRNA from 1 species